ensembl:lncRNA
GUCCACUUGAAUGUCCUGAGUCUGCUGAGUGGCUGUCCUGGCGGGCUGAAUGCAGGUGAUGUUGCAUAGCCAGAGCCGUAGGGACACAGGAAAUGAAGGAUCACCAUCUCGGUUUAAGAUGAAGAUAUGGAGGUCCUUGUGCAUUGGGAAGAGUGGCUACUUCUGUCUCUCUAGUUGCUAUGCUGUGCGUCCCUGUCUUCAGAGGACCAGAGACCCAUUCUGGCUAUAAGCAGAAGCAACUAGUGCACUUUCCGGGCUCGGCUGUCAAUGCCACACUCCCCAGGACUCCAGGAGCCGGUUUGACGAUUCGGCAUGUAAUGGCACUUGCUAAUACG